ACCCCCAUCUCCCCGGAAGUUGCGUCACGACGCUCUGCGCUCUGUCCCCGGAUGUAGGGUUUUGUAUCCGGAUUCUUAGCGCGGACUCAGAACUUCGCUUUUCCCUACGCUGUUAGCACAUGCGCGACAGCUCUUUUCCCUCUUCCUUCGCUUCCACUAGCUUCCACCGUCCGGGGAGCCGCCGCCACCGCCGCCACCGCCGCGGAGGAGUCAGGAAGUUCAAGAUGGCCGCCACGGAGACUCAGUCGCUGCGGGAACAGGCAGAGGUGGAAGAUGCUGAUAAUUCUGAAAAGAGUAUAAAUGAAGAAAAUGGAGAGGUAUCAGAAGACCAAUCUCAGAAUAAACACAGUCGUCACAAAAAAAAGAAGCAUAAACACAGAAGUAAACAUAAGAAACAUAAACAUUCCUCAGAAGAGGACAAAGAUAAAAAACAUAAACAUAAGCAUAAGCAUAAGAAACACAAAAGAAAAGAAGUUAUUGAUGCUUCUGACAAAGAAGGCUUGUCUCCAGCAAAAAGAACUAAACUUGAUGAUUUAGCUUUGCUAGAAGACUUGGAAAAACAGAGAGCCUUGAUUAAAGCUGAACUUGAUAAUGAGUUAAUGGAAGGAAAGGUCCAGUCUGGAAUGGGGCUCAUUUUACAAGGUUAUGAGUCUGGCUCUGAAGAAGAGGGGGAGAUUCAUGAAAAGACAAGAAAUGGAAAUAGGUCUAGUACUAGAUCUUCAAGUACAAAGGGGAAACUUGAACUUGUGGACAAUAAAAAUACUACAAAAAAACGAAGUAAAAGCAGAUCCAAAGAACGGACUAGACACCGGUCUGAUAAAAAGAAAAGUAAGGGAGGUAUUGAAAUAAUUAAAGAGAAAACUACUAGGAGCAAGUCAAAAGAGAGGAAAAAGUCUAAAAGCCCAUCCAAAAGAAGUAAGUCUCAAGAUCAAGCAAGAAAAUCAAAAUCUCCUAUCCUUAGAAGGCGCUCUCAAGAGAAAAUUGGAAAGACUAGAUCACCUCCUGAUGAUAAGGUUAAAGUUGAAGAUAAAAUCAAGACAAAAGAUAGGAAAAAAUCCCCAAUUAUAAAUGAAAGAAGUCGGGAUCGAGGUAAAAAGUCUGGAUCCCCAAUUGACUUAAGAGGUAAAUCCAAAGACAGACGAUCACGGUCCAAAGAGAGAAAAUCAAAACGGUCUGAAACUGAUAAAGAAAAGAAACCAAUUAAAUCUCCCUCUAAAGAUGCUUCAUCUGGGAAAGAAAACAGGUCCCCCAGUAGAAGACCUGGUCGUAGUCCUAAAAGAAGAAGUUUGUCUCCAAAACAACGUGAUAAAUCAAGAAGAAGUAGAUCUCCACUUUUAAACGAUAGAAGAUCUAAGCAGAGCAAAUCACCCUCUCGAACAGUGUCACCUGGUAGGAGGGCCAAGAGCCGAUCCUUAGAAAGAAAACGAAGAGAACCAGAGAGGAGACGACUUUCUUCUCCAAGAACACGACCUCGAGAUGAUAUCCUCAGUAGACGUGAAAGAUCAAAAGAUGCCAGCCCCAUCAGUAGGUGGUCUCCAACUCGAAGAAGAAGUAGAUCUCCCAUAAGAAGGAGGUCUCGUUCCCCACUCAGACGUAGCAGGUCUCCAAGAAGAAGAAGCAGGUCUCCUCGAAGAAGGGACAGAAGUCGGAGGAGCAGAUCACGCUUGAGAAGGCGGUCUCGAUCACGGGGUGGUCGUAGACGCAGGAGCAGAAGCAAAAUAAAGGAGGAUAAAUUUAAAGGAAGUCUUUCUGAAGGAAUGAAAGUUGAGCAGGAAUCUUCAUCUGAUGAUAACCUUGAAGACUUUGAUGUAGAAGAAGAAGAUGAAGAAGCCCUAAUAGAACAGAGAAGAAUCCAAAGGCAGGCAAUUGUUCAGAAAUACAAAUAUCUUGCUGAAGAUAGCAAUAUGUCUGUGCCAUCUGAACCAAGCAGUCCCCAGAGCAGUACUAGAACACGAUCACCUUCUCCAGAUGACAUUUUGGAGCGAGUAGCUGCCGAUGUUAAAGAGUAUGAACGGGAAAAUGUCGAUACAUUUGAGGCCUCUGUAAAAGCCAAGCAUAAUCUAAUGACAGUUGAGCAGAACAAUGGUUCGGCUCAGAAGAAGCUCUUGGCACCUGACAUGUUUACAGAAUCGGAUGAUAUGUUUGCUGCAUAUUUUGAUAGUGCUCGUCUUCGGGCUGCUGGCAUUGGAAAAGAUUUCAAAGAGAAUCCCAACCUCAGAGACAACUGGACUGAUGCAGAAGGCUAUUAUCGUGUGAACAUAGGUGAAGUCCUAGAUAAACGUUACAACGUGUAUGGCUACACUGGGCAAGGUGUAUUCAGUAAUGUUGUACGAGCCAGAGACAAUGCAAGAGCCAAUCAAGAAGUGGCUGUAAAGAUCAUCAGAAACAAUGAGCUCAUGCAAAAGACUGGUUUAAAAGAACUAGAGUUUUUGAAAAAACUUAAUGAUGCUGAUCCUGAUGACAAAUUUCAUUGUCUGCGACUCUUCAGACACUUUUAUCACAAGCAGCAUCUCUGUCUCGUGUUUGAGCCUCUCAGUAUGAAUUUACGAGAGGUGUUAAAAAAAUACGGUAAGGAUGUUGGUCUUCAUAUUAAAGCUGUAAGAUCCUAUAGUCAACAGUUGUUCCUGGCAUUGAAACUCCUUAAAAGAUGCAAUAUCUUACAUGCUGAUAUCAAGCCAGACAAUAUCCUGGUUAAUGAAUCAAAAACUAUUUUAAAGCUUUGUGAUUUUGGGUCAGCUUCACAUGUUGCGGAUAACGACAUAACACCUUACCUUGUCAGUAGAUUUUAUCGUGCUCCUGAAAUCAUUAUAGGUAAAAGCUAUGACUAUGGUAUAGAUAUGUGGUCUGUAGGUUGUACCUUAUAUGAACUCUAUACUGGAAAAAUUUUAUUUCCUGGCAAAACCAAUAACCAUAUGUUGAAGCUCGCUAUGGAUCUCAAAGGAAAGAUGCCAAAUAAGAUGAUUCGUAAAGGUGUAUUUAAAGACCAACAUUUUGAUCAAAAUUUGAACUUCAUGUACAUAGAAGUUGAUAAAGUAACGGAGAGGGAGAAAGUUACUGUUAUGAGCACCAUUAAUCCAACUAAGGACCUGUUGGCUGACUUGAUUGGGUGCCAGCGACUUCCUGAAGACCAACGUAAAAAAGUACACCAGCUAAAGGACUUGUUGGACCAGAUCCUAAUGUUGGACCCAGCUAAACGAAUUAGCAUCAACCAGGCCCUACAGCAUGCCUUCAUUCAGGAAAAAAUUUAAACGAGAUGAAGAAACUCCAAGGGUUUAAGUAAUUAAAUACAAAGACUGAAGAAAUUUCACAGCAGUUUAUUAAUGUAUAUAAACUUAUAAAUAUUUCUCCAGCAAAUUUGAGGAAGCAUGAUAUAUUUGAAUUAACACCAAGGGUGAUAAUUUCUUUUAGAAAUGUUAGCUAAUCUGUUUUGUGUCUUACGUGAAAUUUCACUGUAGAACUGUUUUAAUUGCCAAGACUGCACAAAAUUACAGUGCUAAUGUAUAUGGUUGCAGUUCACAUAAAAGACAAAAGCAUCUGUUAAAAAAUGAGUAGUAAUACUGGGUGGUUGAUUUGUUUUUAGCAGACUUGGCUUCAUUUUGGUCUUCAGAUAAAAUGGCCAGCAUAAAUGCUGUUUAUAUUCACGUUUUCCUAGGUGUGUGUGUGCAGGCCACAGCAGCAUGCCCUUGGUGUAGUCAGUGCCGAAAGGGGUCUGUUCCUUCUUGAGCCUGCCUGCAGGGAUGGUCUCCUCUUUUAAAGCAGGUUGUGUACAGCAUUCAGUACACUGAAGGUAAGCUAAACCAUCAACAUCACUGGUGUUUUAAGAUGUUAUUUUAUUGGAACAAUUGACAAAUGAGGGAUAUUAGCUUUGUGGCAGAAUUUCCUGCAUGUGUGAUAACUGAUCUUGUUUUAUUUUUUGGCAUUGCAACUGUGGCAUAGUUACAAUUUCUGUUCUGUUCAUCACAUUUAAAAUUUAAAGAGUACGCGCUUGAUGGAUAGAGCGCCUUCAGUGUACUGUUUCUUAAUAACUUUACUUUUUUAAAAUCAACUUGCUAUAGACUUUAUAUACAUUUUGUUAAAUACAGUUCUUAGUGACAUAGACAAUGCGUAGUUUUCAUUUACUAAUUACAAAUGUUGAGGCCCAAUUCUAAAAGUCCUCAUAUUUAAAAGUUAGAUAGACAACAUAAUGAAAUUUUUAACUAUUUGUAUGUCAUUUUGAAAGUGUACUGCUUUAUGGUAAAAGUGUUUUUCAUUUGUUCAUUGUUUUCAUUAUUUGUGAUCAUGUUGUCUUUCAAUACAGGCAUAAACCUUCCACUCUUGAACAAAGCAGCUGCUUUUUAAAAGCGAAAAAGGAAAACGGGGCACAGGCCAUUCAACGCCUUCUCCAAGGGGUCUGAUUUGCUGAGACACCAGCUUCACCUUCUUAACAAGGCACCUAAUUACAACAAGCAUGCACAUUUUGGUGCAUUCAAGAAUGGAAAAUCAGAAUAGCAGCAUUCUUCUGGUGGGUUUUGCUCCAUUUAAAGACAUGAAAUGACCUACAGCCAGGAAGGUGAUAGAUGAUAUAAUAACCCAACUCUGAGCCUACAUCCCGUCUCUUCAUGGUUUAGACUUACUAAAAUAAAUACAAGGUGAUUUUCAUCUUCAGGUAGAGUGAAGCCUUUUAAAUAAGGCAUCACAGGUGCAGCUUUUCCACCUCAAUGAAAUGGGUAGUGAUUUUUCCCACCAUUAUUUAUUUGGGUGAUAGUAUGCUGCAUAUUCAAGCCUUUUGUAGUUACUUUUCACUCAGAUAGUUAAACAUUAUGAUGCUUCUUGUGAUAAUAUAUGUCUUUAUUUUAAUGUAAUUUUAAGUAAGUUAACUUCCACUAGAAACAGUUCAUCAUAUGCCUUCAAAACUAUUACCUAUUCCUUAAAAAACAAAGUUGCUUGUUACUUGUUCUUUGUGUUUUAGGUGCAGCUCAGUGGAAGAUGAUGACAACCAGAAGACAUGAGCUAAGGUUUCUGUCCCAUAAAAGAUUAAAAAACAAAAAAGAAUCCUCCAUUUAGUUUUUGUCUAAUUUUUUUAGUUUUCAGCAUUAUGAUUUGGGUUUCAUUAGUGUUUGGUAUUUAGAAUAAUAGUGCUAUUGUGUUCAUCUGUUAAGUGCCUGUUUUAUCAUACUUCCUGCCUUUACCCUAAUUCUUCCUCCCCUAAAACAAAAAUAGUGGUCAAAUUUAGUGAUACACAUGUAGAAGGCUCUUAGAUGAUGAAAUUCCAUUUAACACAUCGUUGUCAAAAUUGGAUCCUAAGGAUUAUUAGAAAAACAGCAAUCACCAAAAUAGCAUAUAUCUAACGGUAAUCUUCGGCUUUAGGUAGAUGUAGAAGAAACUUAAAUUUUAGUAAAACUGUUUAGCUCCUUUAAUACCUAUUCUCCAACUUUCCCAUUUCUGACCUUGUUUUUAGCAAAUGCUUCAAUCUCAUAGUAGACAGAAUAUUCAGAACUGUUGUCAGUUUUUCUUCUUAAGGGAGGUGAUACUGUAAGAUUUUUUUUUUUUACAUCCCCCAAAUUUAGCAUUUCUAGACUUACCUAUUUAAAGGAACUCUGUAAAAUGUUGUUAUAUACAUGUACAUAAUUGUAUUAGAAUUUGUAAUUUUGCUGAGGCAGAAAUUUGGAACUCCGCAAAAGACCUCUGUUAGAUUGAGGUCGUUUAGUGAAUGAUGCUUCUUAAUAAACCUGCAUUCAUGUUUCAGAGUAGUUAUAGUUUUCAAGUACAUUUACCUAUCAUUAAGGUUUUUAUUACACUUCAUGGAAAAAAUGAUAGCAAGUGCUCAGACUUGAGGGUUCACAAAAGUCUUAGGAAUAGCUCUCAAAGUUCUUAUAGUUGUAGGGUUGGUAGAAUAAUUGAGAUCUGGAAAGCAUAUACAUUUUAAAUGCACUAGAAUUUCUUGAAGGUCAGAAGAAAUGAGGUCAGAAUGUUGAGCUUAGUAUUUAUAGUUACCCUUUAAAUCCUUAUUAAUAACAUCCUGUUUCUUCGUUCCCCAAUAGCUAUCUCCUUUCACUUUCUGUCAAAAUAAUUUUAAGAUAAUCCAGUUUUUAUCUUACCAUUAUAAUUAUCACUUUUUUCCUUACAAAAAUACUCAGGACACUUUUACAAUAUGAAAUUAUUUAUAUAAUGUCUUAUGUAGGUAGAUGUAGUGAAAUGUAAUAUUCUCGGUGUAGUUCCAUAUUUUCAUUCUUCCUAUGUUGUACCUAUAUUUUAUCAUCAUUUUUAAGGAAUAUUCUAGCUGUGUAUGAGUAAAAAUAAAAUCUCUGAACACAAAGGAAUUAUAUAUAUUAAGAUUUAGGCAGUUUAAGAAUGCCCUUUUAAAUAUUAAAGUAGGAAAGAAGCCAUAUAUUCAAAUGUGUGAUUUCCUUCCUUUAGUUAACAAUGACAUCAUCACCAAUUUGGCUUCAUAAAUGUGUUUCUUUCUUAAUAGUGUCCCAGUUCCAGCUUAUAUUCAAUAUGAGUUUUAUUGUCCUUCUAGAUGGAGUGUCCUCCUUAUAGAAAUGUUCACAACAAUUUCAUCUUUUUUAUAUGUCAAUAAUGUACAUUAAAUUAGCUUUAAAAUGUUCUUCAGUUACUUUGUUAGACAAUAUUACGGCAUCCUUAAUUUUUCUUCUCCUUCUAUAUAGGGUAAGGUACUGUUCUUCUGAAGAACCUUUCCAUUUAGUGAUCAAGAUAAUGAAAGCUGAUCUCUGAAAAUACUCAGAUGUGUAUUCUAAUUGUUCAUAGUAUCAUUUGAAUUGUAACUUGCAUUUGAGCAGUGCAUGUUCCCAGUCACAACUUAUUGGGACACUUAAUAAAAUAUGCCUAUUGUUA